GAUGAACGCUGGCGGUAUGCUUAACACAUGCAAGUCGAACGGACUCUUCGGAGUUAGUGGCGGACGGGUGAGUAACGCGUGAGAAUCUGGCUUUGGGUUCGGGACAACCACUGGAAACGGUGGCUAAUACCGGAUGUGCCGAGAGGUAAAAGAGAAAUUGCCUGAAGAUGAGCUCGCGUCUGAUUAGCUAGUUGGUGAGGUAAAGGCGCACCAAGGCAGCGAUCAGUAGCUGGUCUGAGAGGAUGACCAGCCACACUGGGACUGAGACACGGCCCAGACUACUACGGGAGGCAGCAGGGAGGAAUUUUCCGCAAUGGGCGAAAGCCUGACGGAGCAAUACCGCGUGAGGGAAGAAGGCUCUUGGGUUGAAAACCUCUUUUCUUAGGGAAGAACAAAAUGACGGUACCUAAGGAAUAAGCAUCGGCUAACUCCGUG
rnacentral:rRNA from 1 species